GACGAACGCUGGCGGCGUGCCUAAUACAUGCAAGUAGGACGCAGUUGCGAACGGGUGAGUAACGCGUAGGUAACUACCUAUUAGAGGGGGAUAACUAUUGGAAACGAUAGCUAAUACCGCAUACUAGUAGAUGGACCUGCGUUGUAUUAGCUAGUAGGUAGGGUAAUGGCCUACCUAGGCAACGAUAAAUAGCCGACCUGGGAUGGUGAUCGGCCACGAUGGGACUGAGACACGGGCCAGAGUCCUUCGGGAGGUAGCAGUAGGGGAACUGCGGCAAUGGGGAGAACCCUGAACGAGCAACGCGGCGUGAGUGAAGGAGGUUUUCGGCUCGUAAAUCUCUGUUGUUAAGGAAGCGGUACUUAACCAGAAAGGGACGGCUAACUACGUGCCAGCAGCCGCGGUAAUUC
rnacentral:rRNA from 1 species